CCUCAAGCUUGCUUGGGGUACUCGAGUGGCGAACGGGUGAGUAAUACGUGGGUAACCUGCCCUCUUCUUUGGGAUAAGCCCCGGAAACGGGGUCUAAUACCGGAUAUUCUGCUUCUGCCGCAUGGUGGGGGUUGGAAAGGUUUUUCGGUGGGGGAUGGGCCCGCGGCCUAUCAGCUUGUUGGUGGGGUGAUGGCCUACCAAGGCUUCGACGGGUAGCCGGCCUGAGAGGGUGACCGGCCACAUUGGGACUGAGAUACGGCCCAGACUCCUACGGGAGGCAGCAGGU
rnacentral:rRNA from 1 species